GGAGGAGGUGGGCUUGACGGACGGGAGGAGCUGGUUCCGUUUGAUGAUCUGUAGAGCCAGCUGUGUGUUUCCUGCAGAAGAAACGAUCACAGUUUUAAACGAUUACUCUGAAGUGACAAAUAAAUCCAGAGCAUGAGAGGAGUGUUUACCUGAUGGAGGCACUUGCGGGCUUUCUCGUACUCACUCCUCAAGCAAUACGCACUGCCCAGGUUGAAGAGCAUUGUGGACCGCGCAGAACUUACGGAGCUAGGGUAACAUAAGGGCGUCUGCUUCCCUGCUACAACACAAACCAAAGGACAAAACAGUUGUCUGGAUCGCAUCACUCAGGAUUGGCUAUUUAAGGAGGUAAAUAUUUGCUUAAAUGUUGUGAGUGUUACAAGUGCAGGACCCAAAAAGAUGUCAAUCAGGCAGAAGAGG